rnacentral:rRNA from 1 species
AUGCAUGUCCAAGUUCAACGAUGGAAAUCGUGAAACCGCGAAUGGCUCAUUAAAUCAGUUUUGGUUCAUUUGUAUAUUAGUCUCUAUAUGGACAACUGCGGUAACCCUGCAGCUAAUACAUGCUAAGUGCUAAUUUACGGAUUAGAACUUUUACAUGUUGAAUUUAUUCCCUGGCUUGGAAUUGUCUGCCAAGUAUGCGUAAUGAACUACUGUAACUGAAGGACCCCAAACGCCAUAGUGCUAGGGGCGAUGCAUUCGAAUAUCUGCCCUAUCAACUACUGACGGUAGUGUAACGGACUACCGUGGUUGUGACGGGUAACGGGGAAUCAGGGUUCGAUUCCGGAGAGGGAGCCUGAGAAACGGCUACCACAUCUAAGGACGGCAGCAGGCGCGCAAAUUACCCAAUCCCGGAACGGGGAGGUAGUGACGAAAAAUAACAAUAUGAGCCCUAAGGGGUUUCUAUUGUAAUGGAUGGAAUUUAACAAAUUCCAUGAGGAUCUAGUAGAGGGCAAGUCUGGUGCCAGCAGCCGCGGUAAUACCAGCCUCUACAAGCAUAUGCAAAUGUUGCUGCGUUUGAAAAGCUCAUAGUUGGAUCCGAUGAUGAUUGAUGUCAGAGGUACCUACCGGUUCGGCCGAGGUACCGGGCACACAUCUGUUUUUCCGUUUAGACUGUUUGCACUUAACUGUGUCGAAUAGUCGAGACGGAAAAUUUACCUUGAGUAAAUUAGAGUGUUCAAGGCAACCCUCGGGUUUGUGAACAAUAAAGCAUGGAAUAAUGGAGGAUGACCCGCUCUCUAUAUAGCAGGGUGCUGGAGAUGCGGUAAUGAUUGAAAGGAACAGUUGGGGGCAUUCGUAUUGCUACGUUAGAGGUGAAAUUCUUGGAUCGUGGCAGACGAAUACUGCA